rnacentral:rRNA from 1 species
ACAUUUCUUUAAGAUUUAUAUUUAAAGUAUUUUUCUGCCCUAUGAUUAGAUUUAAAUGGCUGCAGUAUCUUGACUGUGCAAAGGUAGCAUAAUAAUUAGUUUCUUAAUUAGGGACUUGUAUGAAUGGAUUAAUGAGAAAUUUAUUUUAUUAUAAUUAUUUUUAAAAUUUAAUUUUUGAGUUAAAAUGCUCAAUUGUAUUAUUGGGACGAUAAGACCCUAUAGAACUUUUAAUAAAUACAUAUUUAUAUAUAUAUUAGUUUUUAUUAUUACGGUAUUUAUUUAUUUUUUGCUGGGGUGGUAGAUAAAAAUUUAACUUUAUUUAAUUAUAUCAUUAAUUUAUGUUUAUAUUUGAUCCGUUAAUUAAUGAUUACAAGAUUAAGUUACCUUAGGGAUAACAGCGUAAUUUUAAUGGAAAGUUCACAUUUAUAUUAAAGUUUGCGACCUCGAUGUUGAAUUAAGAUUAAAUUAAGGGGUAGGUUCUUUAAUGUAAGGUCUGUUCGACCUUUAAAUUCUUACAUGAUCUG